rnacentral:rRNA from 1 species
AGCAGCCGCGGUAAUUCCAGCUCCAAUAGCGUAUAUUAAAGUUGUUGCAGUUAAAAAGCUCGUAGUUGAAUUUCGGGAUUAGUACGUUGGUCGUGCCUUCGGUACGUACUGGUGUUACUGAUUCCUACCUUCUGACGAACCAUCAUGUCAUUAAUUUGGUGUGGUGGGGAAUCAGGACUGUUACUUUGAAAAAAUUAGAGUGUUUAAAGCAGGCUCGCGCUUGAAUACAUUAGCAUGGAAUAAUGAAAUAGGACGUUGACCCUAUUUUGUUGGUUUCUAGGAUUGACGUAAUGAUUAAUAGGGAUAGUUGGGGGCAUUAGUAUUCAAUUGUCAGAGGUGAAAUUCUUGGGUUUAUUGGAGACUAACUACUGCGAAAGCAUUUGCCAAGGAUGUUUUCAUUAAUCAAGAACGAAAGUUAGGGGAUCGAAGACGAUCAGAUACCGUCGUAGUCUUAACCAUAAACUAUGCCGACUAGGGAUCGGAUGAUGUUAUUUUUAAUGACUCA